AUAAUAAUAAAAUUUGAAAGGAGGAUAAGCCCAUCUCCAUUAGCAUUCGGCAAUCAUUGGCAACUGAACUGAAUUAGCAUAUAGUGCUUAUUGUCUAUUGGGAGAGCAUAAGAAUGAAAGACAGGUAACUGCCAUUGAAAUUUUGAGCUUUUAGGCGGGCAUUGGUUAGUGGAUUGUCAUAUUCUGCUCAACUCUUCCCAUUACAGGGAAGGGAAGCAUUGCGUGAGAGCAGAAGAGGCCAGUUUCUCACCAACUGCAGCAUGUUGGUCUAGGAUAAAAGGGCAUCUCAAAAUAAUAAUGAAACAAAUGUCCCAAUCAUUUCUAAGGUAUAAUAAUUCAUUGCCGACCAUUAUGCUUAAAUAGCUUCAUGUCCUUGGAUACAAUGAGGGGCUUCCUAGUACUCACCAUCUGGAGCAAGUAACCUUGUCUACAGACCACCAGAGGUAAGAACAGCUCAAAAAGUAGAAGGGUAGGUUGAUUGAAAGAAUAGCACAAUUCCACCUGCAGAGAGAAAGAAAGAUAGAGAGAGAUUCAAGAGAAAUGAUCUUUCAUUAGUUACCUGUACAAGAAAUGGAUUGAAA
rnacentral:misc_RNA from 1 species